GGGGUUCUUUGAUAUGCCGAAUCUAACUGUGUAUGUAGAUUCUUAAUUUUUGGUCCCGUUUUCAAAUUGGUCUACAUUAAAGUCCAAAGGGUCCAAAAUUAAACUAAGUUUGAUUUUAACAAAAAUUGAAUUCUUGGGCUUCUUUGAUAUGCUGAAUCUAAACAUAUACUUAGAUUUUUGAUUAUGGGCCCAGUUUUCAAGUUGGU
rnacentral:lncRNA from 1 species